ACGUUUGAGACGUACAGACGCGGCGUGCACCAGCAAGGCGCGUGCGGGGACAACCUGGCGGACAUGCUUAGACUUGUUUGCCGUAAAUACAAGCGGUCGGGUGGAACGCGACCAGGUAAAACCUAUGAUGUGUUGAAACGUGCGAACUUCACAGCUGGCGGGUUAAGCCCGCCACAAAUACAGGCAAGAUCCGCUCCCUGGAAGUCGGUUUUGAAGAGAAUGAUGGUGUCCAAAGAGAAAGCACUCGCCUUCAUCGCCAACAACCUGGAUUUCCAUCGCCGCAAGAAGAAAGGAUCUCCGUAUAAUUUAGAUAAACGCUAUGGCGACAUCAAUAUCGUCUGCGAGUGCUGUUACCAUAGCUGCAGUGUGGCGGAGUUUGAGGAUUACUGCGCAGAGUGAAACUGUUCUGCUGGACAUGCGGAAACGCAUUUAUUUUAAAUUUUCCCGUUUGAAAGAUUUUUGUAUAAAUUGGACUAUAUUUUUUUCUCUUUUUAUUUUUUCCCAAAUACAAUGAUGCAGAUUGAUUUAUUUGAAUCCAAAAGACUGUUCACACUUUAAUUAUACGAACUCGAAGCAAAUUUAAUUUAAAAUGUAAAACAAAUGUAGAUUAGUAGGGAAUGAUGCAUUUAUUAAUUCACAAAGUUUCUGUCGUUGUUUUGCCUGAUACAGAUACAUAGAUUUAAUAUAUACUGCAUA
rnacentral:misc_RNA from 1 species